rnacentral:rRNA from 1 species
UGGCAGGUACAGAGGGAUGCUACCGGGCGACCGGAUGCGGAUCUCGAAAGCCUGUCCCAGUUCGGACUGGAGUCUGCAACCCGACUCCACGAAGUUGGAUUCGCUAGUAAUCGCGCAUCAGCCAUGGCGCGGUGAAUACGUUCCCGGGCCUUGUACACACCGCCCGUCAAGCCAUGGGAGCCGGGGGCGCCUGAAGUCCGGGACCGCGAGGACCGGCCUAGGGCGAAACUGGUAACUGGGGCUAAGUCGUAACAAGGUAGC